AACCUCCGGUUUAAUGCUUCAGCCGGUUCCACUUUAAUGGCUCCUUGUUUGUCUACAGGAGGAAGGGUUGCUAUGGGUAAAGCCCCUUGACCGAGUUUCAGUUUCAGCUGGGAAACAUGAAACACGUUAUGGAUCUGUGCAGUGGCCGGAAGCUUCAAACGGUAUGCCACCUCUCCGAUUCGCUGCUCUACCUCGUACGGUCCAUAAAACCUUGGACUGAGUUUGAGAUUCUGCCGAGUAGUGAGGGACGAUUGCCGAUACGGUUGGAGCUUCAAAAAUACCCAAUCUCCAACUUGGACCCACAGCUGCUCACGGUCACGCAAGGUCCUUCAAUCUAGUGCCUUCAGCCAUUGGAGUUUCAGGAUAGUAGGAUCUGGGCUCUUGGAUACCACUUGUAAUAGACUAUAAUAGUAGUAGUGAAUAUAUUGGAAUGUAUAAGGGACUGUAAUAUUGAUAAAAGCCUCACGGCAAUAGCAACACUUUCUUCGAGGGAAAGGACCUCCACAGUAGCGAUGAACAGUAGAAUAUUCCAGAUGAUAGGUUAAAUCUCCUACAGAGACCUUAUGUACUACCAUAUGUAUUUUACUAAAAAGUCCUUAAUCUAAUUGGGCUAAAGGCCCUUACAGUUUACUUAAAGGAUAA